GGGGAGCAAACAGGAUUAGAUACCCUGGUAGUCCACGCUGUAAACGAUGUCGACUUGGAGGUUGUUCCCUUGAGGAGUGGCUUCCGGAGCUAACGCGUUAAGUCGACCGCCUGGGGAGUACGGCCGCAAGGUUAAAACUCAAAUGAAUUGACGGGGGCCCGCACAAGCGGUGGAGCAUGUGGUUUAAUUCGAUGCAACGCGAAGAACCUUACCUGGUCUUGACAUCCACAGAACUUAGCAGAGAUGCUUUGGUGCCUUCGGGAACUGUGAGACAGGUGCUGCAUGGCUGUCGUCAGCUCGUGUUGUGAAAUGUUGGGUUAAGUCCCGCAACGAGCGCAACCCUUAUCCUUUGUUGCCAGCGGUUAGGCCGGGAACUCAAAGGAGACUGCCAGUGAUAAACUGGAGGAAGGUGGGGAUGACGUCAAGUCAUCAUGGCCCUUACGACCAGGGCUACACACGUGCUACAAUGGCAUAUACAAAGAGAAGCGACCUCGCGAGAGCAAGCGGACCUCAUAAAGUAUGUCGUAGUCCGGAUUGGAGUCUGCAACUCGACUCCAUGAAGUCGGAAUCGCUAGUAAUCGUGGAUCAGAAUGCCACGGUGAAUACGUUCCCGGGCCUUGUACACACCGCCCGUCACACCAUGGGAGUGGGUUGCCAUCA
rnacentral:rRNA from 1 species